GCAGAGUACGCCAUCGCCCAGCCUCCAGGAGGGGCUGGGGCCACAGUGCCCACAGGCUCUGAACCUGCGACCGGAGACAGCCCCAGCCAGACUCUGAAAGCAGGAACAAAAUCCAGUAGCAUCAUCGUGAGCCCGCGGCAGAGGGGCAACCCCGUGUUGAAGUUUGUUCGCAGUGUGCCCUGGGAAUUCGGUGAGGUGACUCCUGAUUAUGUGCUGGGCCAGAGCACCUGCGCCCUUUUCCUCAGCCUCCGCUACCACAACCUGCAUCCAGACUACAUCCAUGAACGGCUGCAGAGCCUGGGGAAGAACUUCGCCCUGCGUGUGCUGCUGGUCCAGAAAGAUCCCCAGCAGGCUCUUAAGGAGCUGGCUAAGAUUUGCAUCUUGGCUGACUGCAC
rnacentral:lncRNA from 1 species